ACGCUCGACACCUACGGGAGGAGCAGUUGGGAAUAUUGGACAAUGGAGGAAACUCUGAUCCAGUGACGCCGCGUGAAGGAAGAAGGUCUUCGGAUUGUAAACUUAUUUUGUCAGGGAAGAAAAAUGACUGUACCUGAAGAAAAAGCACCGGCUAACUACGUACCAGCAGCCGCGGUAAUCUGAGCGGGCUGGCAAGGC
rnacentral:rRNA from 1 species